rnacentral:piRNA from 1 species
UGGUACAUGAUACUAAAACUGGAGUGUC